rnacentral:rRNA from 1 species
AGUAAACUCCAAACCCAUGUGAACAUACCUACUGUUGCUUCGGCGGGAUUGCCCCGGGCGCCUCGUGUGCCCCGGAUCAGGCGCCCGCCUAGGAAACUCAACUCUUGUUUUAUUUUGGAAUCUUCUGAGUAGUUUUUACAAAUAAAUAAAAACUUUCAACAACGGAUCUCUUGGUUCUGGCAUCGAUGAAGAACGCAGCGAAAUGCGAUAAGUAAUGUGAAUUGCAGAAUUCAGUGAAUCAUCGAAUCUUUGAACGCACAUUGCGCCCGCCAGUAUUCUGGCGGGCAUGCCUGUCUGAGCGUCAUUUCAACCCUCAUGCCCCUAGGGCGUGGUGUUGGGGAUCGGCCAAAGCCCGCGAGGGACGGCCGGCCCCUAAAUCUAGUGGCGGACCCGUCGUGGCCUCCCCUGCGAAGUAGUGAUAUUCCGCAUCGGAGAGCGACGAGCCCCUGCCGUUAAACCCCCAACUUUCCAAGGUUGACCUCAGAUCAGGUAGGAAUACCCGCUGAACUUAAGCAUAUCAAUAAGCGGAGGAA